AUGAUCUGUUCGAUAGCACCUAUACUAAAAUUGGAACAAUACAGAGAAGAUUAGCAUGGCCUCUCACAAGGAUGACAUGCAAAAUUGUGAAGCAUUCUAUAAUUUA
rnacentral:snRNA from 1 species